GAUGAACGCUGGCGGCAUGCCUAACACAUGCAAGUCGAACGAGGUGUACUUGUACACCUAGUGGCGGACGGGUGCGUAACACGUGAGUAACCUGCCCUUUACAACGGGAUAACACAGAGAAAUUUGUGCUAAUACGGUAUGAGACCACAGUACGGCAUCGUACAGGGGUUAAAGUUCAGGCGGUAAAGGAGGGGCUCGCGGCCCAUUAGGUAGUUGGUGAGGUAACGGCUCACCAAGCCGACGAUGGGUAGCCGACCUGAGAGGGUGAUCGGCCACACUGGAACUGAGAUACGGUCCAGACUCCUACGGGAGGCAGCAGUGGGGAAUAUUGGGCAAUGGAGGCAACUCUGACCCAGCAAUGCCGCGUGAAUGAUGAAGGUCUUCGGAUUGUAAAGUUCUUUAAUUGGGGACGAAGAAAAUGACGGUACCCAAGGAAUAAGCCACGGCUAACUAUGUG
rnacentral:rRNA from 1 species